rfam:Candidatus Paracaedibacter acanthamoebae isolate PRA3, complete genome.
CCACCCCUGCCACGGGGUGACCCUAGGGCCCUGAAUCAAGAGCGGGUCUGACAAUGUAACGAAAGGCAGUAAUGCCUGGGGUUUAAAUCGCGAGAGGCAAGCCCUUCUAGUAACCACGACUGGAUGAGUGC